AAUAGAUACCCGGGUAGUCCACGCUGUAAACGGUGGGUACUAGGUGUGGGGUCCAUUCCACGGGUUCCGCGCCGUAGCUAACGCUUUAAGUACCCCGCCUGGGGAGUACGGCCGCAAGGCUAAAACUCAAAGGAAUUGACGGGGCCCCGCACAAGCGGCGGAGCAUGCGGAUUAAUUCGAUGCAACGCGUAGAACCUUACCUGGGUUUGACAUGGAUCGGGAGUGCUCAGAGAUGGGUGUGCCUCUUUUGGGGUCGGUUCACAGGUGGUGCAUGGCUGUCGUCAGCUCGUGUCGUGAGAUGUUGGGUUAAGUCCCGCAACGAGCGCAACCCUUGUUCACUGUUGCCAGCACGUUAUGGUGGGGACCCAGUGGAGACCGCCGGGGUCAACUCGGAGGAAGGUGGGAUGACGUCAAGUCAUCAUGCCCCUUAUGUCCAGGGCUUCACGCAUGCUACAAUGGCUGGUACAGAGAGUGGCGAGCCUGUGAGGGUGAGCGAAUCUCGGAAAGCCGGUCUCAGUUCGGAUUGGGGU
rnacentral:rRNA from 1 species